GACGAACGCUGGCGGCGUGCCUAAUACAUGCAAGUAGAACGCACAGUUUAUACCGUAGCUUGCUACACCAUAGACUGUGAGUUGCGAACGGGUGAGUAACGCGUAGGUAACCUGCCUGGUAGCGGGGGAUAACUAUUGGAAACGAUAGCUAAUACCGCAUAAUAUUGAUUAAUGCAUGAUAAUUGAUUGAAAGAUGCUAUUGCAUCACUACCAGAUGGACCUGCGUUGUAUUAGCUAGUAGGUGAGGUAACGGCUCACCUAGGCGACGAUACAUAGCCGACCUGAGAGGGUGAUCGGCCACACUGGGACUGAGACACGGCCCAGACUCCUACGGGAGGCAGCAGUAGGGAAUCUUCGGCAAUGGACGAAAGUCUGACCGAGCAACGCCGCGUGAGUGAAGAAGGGUUUCGGAUCGUAAAGCUCUGUUGUAAGAGAAGAACGGGUGUGAGAGUGGAAAGUUCACACUGUGACGGUAUCUUACCAGAAAGGGACGGCUAACUACGUG
rnacentral:rRNA from 1 species